rnacentral:rRNA from 1 species
UACGGGGGGGGCAAGCGUUGUUCGGAAUUACUGGGCGUAAAGGGCUCGUAGGCGGCCAACUAAGUCAGACGUGAAAUCCCUCGGCUUAACCGGGGAACUGCAUCUGAUACUGGAUGGCUUGAGUUCGGGAGAGGGAUGCGGAAUUCCAGGUGUAGCGGUGAAAUGCGUAGAGAUCGGGCGGAACACCAGCGGCGAAGGCGGCAUCCUGGCCCUUACCUGACGCUCAUGCACGAAAGCGUGGGGAGCAAACAGG